UGGGACAGCCCCAGGAUAUGAUCAGGCACUUGUCUUUCUGAUCUACCAUCUGGAACUUGCCUUUCCCUAGAUGACUCCACAUACCCAAACAGCUGCUGAAUCUCCAGUAGAUGAAGAAUCUAUAUUCUUCAUCUUGACAGUAGGAGGAGGGGGAACAAAAAAUUCUGCACUGCUUUGCUGUGCAGUGCUGUUCUGAAGUUAAUGUGAUUGUUGCCAUCAGGGAAGGAACAGAAUGUGGAUGUCAGAGCCUUUGCCAAAAGCCAACGGCAUUCUCAGAUAGAUCUUGUUGACAGAUGCCUUGUCCCUCUGCUUGCUGCUGUGUUUCCAGUCCUGUCAACCUUGUUGUUGUUCACAUCUACAGCUAUGAAUAAAGACAACUCACAUGAGGCCGGACAAGCCGAGUCCCAGAUCUGGUUCUAGAGUACUCCUGGGAGGACCAAGAAUGGUCCAUGGGUUUUCUGCCAGCUGGCCCAGGUCUGGCUGGCUCCAAGGUGUUUCUAUGCUCAGGAGAGAGCCAU
rnacentral:lncRNA from 1 species